rnacentral:rRNA from 1 species
GAUGAACGCUGGCGGCGUGCCUAAUACAUGCAAGUCGAGCGAAUGGAUUAAGAGCUUGCUCUUAUGAAGUUAGCGGCGGACGGGUGAGUAACACGUGGGUAACCUGCCCAUAAGACUGGGAUAACUCCGGGAAACCGGGGCGAAUACCGGAUAACAUUUUGAACCGCAUGGUUCGAAAUAGAAAGGCGGCUUCGGCUGUCACUAAUGGAUGGACCCGCGUCGCAUUAGCUAGUUGGUGAGGGAACGGCUCACCAAGGCAACGAUGCGUAGCCGACCUGAGAGGGUGAUCGGCCACACUGGGACUGAGACACGGCCCAGACUCCUACGGGAGGCAGCAGUAGGGAAUCUUCCGCAAUGGACGAAAGUCUGACGGAGCAACGCCGCGUGAGUGACGAAGGCUUUCGGGUCGUAAAACUCUGUUGUUAGGGAAGAACAAGUGCUAGUUGAAUAAGCUGGCACCUUGACGGUACCUAACCAGAAAGCCACGGCUAACUACGUGCCAGCAGCCGCGGUAA